AUUGAACGCUGGCGGCAUGCCUAACACAUGCAAGUCGAACGGCAGCACAGUAAUAGCUUGCGCGUACGGGGGCCGAGUGGCGAGCGGUUGAGGAAUACAUCGCAAUAUACGGUGUCGUGGGGGAUAAAGGAGGGGAACAUACGCCAAUACCGCAUACGACGUACGGGGGAAAGCACAGGAUCUUGUGCCCUUGCGCGGGUGAAUGACCCGAUAUCUGAUUGGCUAGUUGGAGGGGUAAAGGCCCACCAAGGCGACGAUGCGUAGCUGGUCUGAGAGGAUGAUCAGCCACACUGGAACUGAGACACGGUCCAGACUCCUACGGGAGGCAGCAGUGGGGAAUAUUGGACAAUGGGCGCAAGCCUGAUCCAGCAAUACCGCGUGAGUGAAGAAGGCCUUCGGGUUGUAAAGCCCUUUUGUUAGGAAAGAAAGGCAGCAGGUUAAUACCCCGCUGUAAUGACGGUACCUAAAGAAUAAGCACCGGCUAACUUCGUG
rnacentral:rRNA from 1 species